GACCUCAAAUCGAGUAGGACUACCCGCUGAACUUAAGCAUAUCAAUAAGCGGAGGAAAAGAAAACAAUAGUGAUAGGACUAGUAACGGCGAGUGAAGCUCCUAAAGCCCAACUUUAAAAUCUGGCGCCUUCGGCGUCCGAGUUGUAGUCUCGAGAAGCAUGGCUCGUGUCGGUCCGCGUCAAACUGGUUCGGAUGCCAGGUCAUAGAGGGUGACAAUCCCGUUGGCAACGCGGCCUCCCGAUGCAUCAGCAGUCUGCUCUCCAAGAGUCGAGUUGUUUGGGAAUGCAGCUCUAAUCAGGUGGUAAAUUCCAUCCAAGGCUAAAUAUCGGCGGGAGACCGAUAGCGAACAAGUACCGUGAGGGAAAGAUGAAAAGCACUUUGGAAAGAGAAUGAAAGAGUAUGUGAAAUUGCUGGAAGGGAAACGCUUGAAGUCAGAUACGCGCGGGGGUAUUCAGCUCGGUUCGCCGGGUGCAUUUGCCCUCAUUGCGCGCCAGCAUCGGUUCGUGGGGCCGCAGCAGCGCGGUGGGAAUGUGGCCAUCUCCGGGUGGUGUUAAGCCCGCCGUUGUGGUCGGACCCGUGGACCGAGGAUCGCAGCGCGCCGCAAGGCAGCCCUCGAGGGGGUAAAGCGCUUAGGAUGCUGGCGGAAUGGCUUUAAACGACCCGUCUUGAAACACGG
rnacentral:rRNA from 1 species